UUUUGCCUACGGGACGCAGCAGUGAGGAAUAUUGGUCAAUGGGCGCAGGCCUGAACCAGCCAAGUCGCGUGAGGGAAGACUGCCCUAUGGGUUGUAAACCUCUUUUAUAAGGGAAGAAUAAUGACUACGUGUAGUCAGAUGCCCGUACCUUAUGAAUAAGCAUCGGCUAACUCCGUGCCAGCAGCCGCGGUAAUACGGAGGAUGCGAGCGUUAUCCGGAUUUAUUGGGUUUAAAGGGUGCGUAGGCGGUAUUUUAAGUUAGUGGUAAAACGUCGGGGCUUCACCUUAAUUUGCC
rnacentral:rRNA from 1 species